rnacentral:rRNA from 1 species
AUAAUCACUUGUCCCCCAAAUAGGGACUAGCAUGAACGGCCAAACGAGGGCCCAACUGUCUCCUAUAGCCCACCAAUAAACCUGAUCUCUCCGUACAAAAGCUGAGAUAAACACAUUAGACGAGAAGACCCUGUGGAGCUUUAAGCCCUAUGCAACACACUAUUGACAUACCGCUUUCAGUUGGGGCGACUACGGAGCAAAACAAAACCUCCGUAACACUACUUUAACCUAAGACCCACACGUCAAACAGAAAAUUU